AAGCAGUGAUAGGAAAUAUUUGCUUCAGACUUUUGCUCUGCAAUAUUCUAUAAGUGCUCAGGCUUAUUAUCAAGGAGUAAAGGUCAGAGGAGAGACACUGGUUCGCUCCUCCGCAGGAAGGGGCCUGUGAUCAUUGACCUCAGUACCCAUUUGCCAUUGUUCCAGAACACUCCACGGAGGCUGGAGCCCCAGGCUCCGCUUUACCUGAGUGUGAACCGAUUUGUGCUCUUAUAUUCUCCCUUGCUUUUCUUUUUUUCUUUUUUGUUUUAAAAAUUUUUUAUUGUUGGCUGUUCAAAACAUUACAUAGUUCUUGAUAUAUCAUAUUUCACACUUUGAUUCAAGUGGGUUAUGAGCUCCCAUUUUUACCCCAUAUACAGAUUGCAGAAUCACAUCAGUUACACAUCCAUUGAUUUACAUAUUGCCAUACUAGUGUCUGUUGUGUUCUGCUGCCUUUCCUAUCCUCUACUAUCCCCCCUCCCCCCCCUCCCCUCCCCUCCCCUCCCCAUGCAAUGGAGGAAGGAUAGCAUCUCCCUUGCUUUUCAAGUUUUGCAAGAAGGGACGAGCCCAGGCUGGAAUUUAAGAAAUUGACCUUUGAAGGUAAAAGCUCUCCUGAGAACAUGCUGAUUAAAAAUUUUAACUAUCCAUCAAACGGUGACAGGCUCAGCUUUCUUCCCAAGACAGAUCUGGCGGGGCAAGGGGACGUGGCUUCCUCAGCUGACACACGGGCUCAGCUUCCUGGUUUUCUUUUCUUUAGUUUUUUUUUUUGUACUGGGCAUCAAACCCAGGUCAAGCUGCUGCAUGUUCUAAACUCAUGCUCCCAAUUCCUCAUUUUUUUCUAAAGAAUCAAGGCCACUUGUCUCAAGGUCCACAGGUCCCCUCCUGAAGCCCGUCCCAGUCCCUCCAUUCACAGCCCAUGUGAUGGCGAGCACCCCUCUGGCUCUCUGGGCCUAGCUCCAUUCUGAAAGUAAAUCAGUAAAGAGACGCUCGCUGUAAGAACAGGAGCCAGGAUGUAAGCAAGUGGGCACGGGUUUUCUCACAUAACAAAAGAUCUAGAAGCAGGACGAUCCAGCAGUUGGUUCAGUAACAUCUGAUGUCCCAGGUUCUUUAGGUCCCUUGGCCUCGCCAUCUUUAAUAAUCAGCUUUGGGGCAUGGGCAUUGUAGCCUCGAGCUAGAGCACUCGCCUAGCAUGCGUGAGAACCUGGGUUCUACCCGAGCACUGCAAUACUAAGCAAGCAAACAAACAAACAUUGGCUUUCAGGCCUUUGCUUCUCACUGAAUGGCCGCAAAAUGACUGCCAUCGUCUGGGUGUCACACUACAUUUGAGGCAGGCAGAAGGAAGAAACCCCUUCUCGCCCAUGUUUACAGUUGCUGUUUACUGAGCACUUACUGUGUGCCAGCCGCCUUCCCACACACAGACCCUUCUUACCAUGCUACAAGCUAAAUUGUCCCCAAAUUACUGACCAAGAAACAGAGGACCUGGAAGAUGAAGAAAUUGACCAUAUCAAGUUUCUACUGUGGUAACGAAUUACUGCAGAUUUAGUGGCCUGAGGUGACAUGUGCUUAUUAUCUGACAGUCCUGGAAAUUAGAGUCUACAAGAUGGGAGGCCCAGCUGGCUCCUUCGGGAGGCUCCAGGGAGGAUAUGUGCUGGCCUGUUCCUGGAGGGCGGCAUUUUGUGGCUCCCCUCAGCAGAUCCCUCCUCUGCUUCUGCCCCUCCCGCCUCUUAUUUAUGUAUUUAUUUAUGUAUGAGACAGGCUCUUGCUGAGUUGCUUAGGGCCUUGCUAAAUUGCUGAGGCUGGCCUGGAAUUUGCCAUCCUCCUGCCUUAGCCUCAGGAGUCGCUGGGAUUACAGGUUGCGCCCACCCGGGGCUUGACCACCCUUUGUGCCUUAAGACUCCCUGCCGCCUCUGGGCUCACCUGGGUAAUUAAGGAGACCUUGAGCUUGACCCCUGCACCUGCCCCGCAUUUGCCACUGGAGGCUGCAUAUUAGCAGUUCCUGGGAUCAGGUCGGGUUUUCCCCGGGGGCUGCUCUUCACUCUCAGGUUAAUGUGUAGGGAGGGGGUGCAUGCAGGCCCUCCUCCCCCCCACCCCACCCUACCCUGGGGCUCCUGGGCUGCGGAGGCAGCUUUCCCUCCAGUCCCCACCUCUCCAGCCUGGGCCUCUGGGCGCCGGUCCCUGGAAUGUCACUCAUUUCCUUUGGACUGCGGCCCGUGGACACCCUUCCAGGGGCUUCCCUCCCCCUCAGCUGCCCUGGACACGAUUGGUUCCCAGAACUUUGGUCGGGGGCCCCAGGUCAGAACCACAGCUGGGCCGUGGCACCAGAUCCAGGGCUCCAGAGCACCUCUGGAUUGGCAGCUGGCGGUGAACAGGGAAAGAGACCCACUUCCCGCCUCCCGGCCGUGCAGAAGCUGCUCUCUGCCCCGCGCAGAAGUUCACCGCUAUCCCACACCGCAGACCUCAGUCCGUGAUCCUUCAGUUUCUCUAACAUUUGCCCCUCCCAUGAGCACCCCUGCUUCUAAGUCUCCCCUCUUUCAAACCCCCAGGCGACCCAUCCAGCCUGAACCCUCCAUCUUGCAGCCUCUCCUGUUAAGAACAAAGCACAAAGAAGCCUCUGGGAGGAGAGGUCAAGUGUGGAUCCCGCAGCCUGACCACCCACACCCUUUAAGUGGCCCUGCCUUUGCUGGCUGUGUGAUCUUGGGGAAGGUGCUUGCCCUUUCUGUGCCUCAGUUUCCUUAUUUGUUAGAUGGGGACAGCAGUGCUACUGUAGCCACCUCCCGUCAUCACCAUGGGAAUAAAAUGAAUUUAUGUUUUCAAAGUGCUUAGAACAGGGUGUGUAGCACACGCUUUAGAAACUAAUAAGAUAAAAAUACAUUUUUGCUUCUUUGGCUUCCGCCCAUGACGUCCCUGUUUGCAGCUUGCGCUCCUCCUUCUCUCCGGGCUGUGGGCGGAGCUUCUCUGCCAGCUGAAGACAGUCCCUUUCUGCAUGCAGGCCCCCCUCCUCCCCAGAGGGAAGUGGGAAGCUCCGUCUGUCUGUUCCCGAGGGCUGCUUCCUGUCCCCACCUCUCUGCCCAGGCAGCGGGUCACGGCACCUGGUCCACAGCCCAUAAACCCAGUGACCGCGUCUCUGUCCUUAUGGGGCUGCACCCCUUCCCUGAAGCCCUCCCCUCUCUGGGCUGUUUAGUUUCUUAUUUCCGUGGCUGAGCUGUCCUCUCUCUCCCUCUCUCCUGCCCCUGGUUUUAGGUUGGACUCCUCUGUCCCCCGGUCCACUCUCCCUAUGUCCUAUCCCCACAACCUGGGCGGUGACCUGAUUUGGAAACAGGGUUGAUGUUGAUGUCAUCAGUCAGGGUGAGGUCACAGUGCAGCGGGGUGGCUGGUGUCCUUGCAUGAGGAGCCCACAGACGCCCAGGGAGGACCGCGCGAUGCAGACACAGAGGGACCUGGCAGUGACGGCUGCCAGAAGGAGCCCAGUGGCCACAGCCCCCCAAAGCCCCUGAGAGGCGAGCAGCUGGUCCUGCCUGCCGACACCCUGACCCUGGACCUCAGCCUCCAGAACGGCCAGGUUUUUGUUGUUCUGAGUCACCCCGUUUGGGGGCACCUCGUCACGGCAGCCCCUUUCCCGCCGCAGAUGUGCAAUUGGAGGGUACGGAGCAGGCGUCAUUCUCCCGCCCCUAAAUACGUCCGGGUUUACCUCCUAAAAAUAAAGGCUUUCUUUACACAACCAGGUGGUUAUCAAAUUCAGGAAAUGCAGCCGGCGCAGUGGCACUCGCCUGUGAUCUGGGCAACUCAGGAGGCUGAGGCAGGAGGCUCUCAAGUUCAAAGCCAACCUCAGGAACUUAGCGAGGCCCCAGCAACUCAGGGAGACCCUGUCUCUAAAUAAAAUACAAAAAAGGGCUGGGGAUGGGGCUCAGUGGCGAAGAGCUCCUGGGUUCAAACCCCAAUACCCACCCCCCAGAUCAGGAAGUGACGUUGGAGCCACACCGUUUCCUAUCCACCGUCCAUGCUCAGCAUCACCUUCUACCCUCACUGGGAACCUCAUGCUGGGCUCUGACUGUUCCAAUAACUUAAGAAAACAGCCAAGAAAGCAUACAAACACACAGAAGUGCCUUUUCAAAACCCAAGGAUAGCUCUGCAACCUUAGGGGUCCCUGGAAAGAGAAAGCCACUGGAAUUCUUGAUUCUUAUAUAGGAGACACAAGGGCAGGUUCCAUGGAACAUUCUAUCCCCAAAAGGAUUACAAAGGAACAGGUGAGUGGAGCUCAACCCCAUGGGGGACGCCUGCUCCUGGAGCCGCCUCCUAUCCCAGGGGGUAAAGCCCAGGUGACUGCGGGGCGCAGUGAUUGUCCAGCACCCGGUGUAUCAGGACCUAAAGGUGUCUGCAGCCAGGGUAGCUCCCGACAGCUGUCCCUGUCGCGUCUAGUAGCCCUAACAAAUGACCUCAGCUUGUAAACAACAAGCACUCUUUCUUGCAGCUCCAGAGGCUGAAGUGAUGAUAGGGCACGACAGACCUGGGGUCCGAGGAGGACACUCUUAGCCGAUGCCCUCUGGCCGCGUCCUCAUGUGGAGGGGCCAGGAGUUCCCUGAGGCCUUUGGUGAGGGCACAGCCCCAACACAAGGGGUGCUUCCUCUGGCCCUGUCACCUCCAGGGGCCCCCUCCUGCCUCCGUCUCAUGGGGAUUAGGUUUCAACACAGGAGUUUUUGUGGGACAGAGACCUCUGGGCCACAGUGAUGUCCCUUGGGCACUUCCAUUCCCUCCCACAGGACGGGCUUUCUUCAGGAUCAUGGGUGGCACUGGGGCCACAUCCUCCUCGUCCCCUUCUGGAUGGCCGCCAGGCCCCUCCACCAGGAAGCUGCUACUCUGCCCUUGGAAACCGCUCUCCUUGCUGCUAUGUGACAGGGUCGGUCGUACUGGACUCGUGGCUUUGUUAUUUCAACCAUGUCCUGAGAAUGUCAGCAUCUCUGACGUGGGGAAGGAGUCUCAUCAGCGCUCAGAGAUCUUCCUCUCCACUUUCUUGAGCAGGUACAAACAUUCCAGUGCGCAGACGCAGCAGGGCACGCUAACACUGUCCUGCAGAGGGUGGUCCCCACCUACCCCUACGGGGUCAGCCCUCCUACCCAAGGUGUUGCUUUCUGAAAUUUUAGUUGCCCUUGGUUCGAUGUAGUCCAGAAGCAUGACAUGGAAAGUUCCAGAAGUGAUCAAUUCAUUUGCUGGAAACAAUCUCCUGUCAGAGUAGGUUGUGAUAUUGUUCUAUGUUUGGUUUUUAUCUAUUUAUUUAUUUAUUUUCUGUGGUGCUGGGGGUUGAACUUGGGGCCUGUGUUUCUGGGGCACGCCCUCUCCCAACUGAGCUGUUUCCCCAGCCUGGUUGAUAUCUUUUCCAGGCUGGGGAUUGAACCCAGGGCCUUGCACGUGCUAGAGAACCUCUUCCCGGGCUACAUCCCCAGCCCUACGCUGUUUACUACUAAUAAAAUAAUAGUCUAUUAUUAGUGACUGGUGCCGAUCUGCUGUGCCUGAUUUCUCAGUGGAGCUGUUCUAGGUGCAUCAUGUAGGGAGGCCCGGGCUGUGUGCUCAGGCUUCAUGCUGUCCGCCGUCUUGGACGCCGUGGAACGUCUUGGACGCCAUGGAACGUCUUGGAACUUACC
rnacentral:lncRNA from 1 species